AUUCUCUGGUUUCUCUUCAGAUCGAAUAAAGCUUUCGCUUUACUAAAGUUUUCUGUGGAGAGAAUCAUCCAUGAUUUUUUAAAAAAAAAAUGUUUUGCGGCUCUGCCCCUUGCAAGGCU